AGAGUUUGAUCAUGGCUCAGAGCGAACGCUGGCGGCGUGCCUAACACAUGCAAGUCGAACGUGAAAGGGAGCAAUCCUGAGUAAAGUGGCGCACGGGUGAGUAACGCGUAGGUAAUCUACCCCAGAGUCUGGAAUAACCUGCCGAAAGGCGGGCUAAUACUGGAUAGAGCGACGGAAUCCGUAAUUGGGUUUUUCGGGAAAGGGAGGAAGCAAUUCCCUUUGCUCUGGGAUGAGCCUGCGUCUCAUUAGCUAGUUGGUGGGGUAACGGCCUACCAAGGCAUUGAUGGGUAGCUGGUCUGAGAGGAUGAUCAGCCACACUGGAACUGAAACACGGUCCAGACUCCUACGGGAGGCAGCAGUGGGGAAUCUUGCGCAAUGGACGAAAGUCUGACGCAGCCACGCCGCGUGAGUGAAGAAGGCCUUCGGGUUGUAAAGCUCUGUCGCCCGGGACGAAAAAUCAGGAGGUGAAUAGCCUUUUGAUCUGACGGUACCGGAGAGAGACCC
rnacentral:rRNA from 1 species